AAAUAACAGCCCUAACAGGUUUAAGCCUCAAAUCACAGCCCCCUCAGUGCAUUCCUUGGGUCAUAUUAGCUGUGGUGUUUAAAAUGUCCUCUGAGUAGAGACAAGCACUGCUAACAAUAGGCCAACUCUGAGAAGCAAUAUAUGGCAGGAGAUGUGUCUUCACAAUAGACCUGUGAGAUAGGAGGACAUCAAUGAACCCAUUUCCAGACGGAUGCUGACAGAGGAGCUGCCCUGCUGAUGAUGGGAGGGCUGUGGCUGCCAGUCUGCACAUCUCCUGCUGACUACAGUUCCACCUGCAAGUGGACACAGGUGCUCUGUCCUGGUUUGAAGGAUGAGAGACACUCAUCGCAUAUGGAGGAACAUAAGAAACACAGAAUUAUCGUUCAUCAGCAUCAAAAUGAUCAAGCAGCCACAGCUGUUGAUUGAAGACCUACACGUAACUUCUCCAGAAUGCUGGUUUCAGGAAAGUUGGAUUUCUUGCAUGAUGGCCACCUUCUACCUUACACCUUACUAGCAGAUUUUAUUUUCACAAGAGACAGGCAGAGGGAGAAGCAGACUCCCCUGGAGGAGCCU